rnacentral:snoRNA from 1 species
AUGGAAAUGAGGAUCCUUUCCCCAAAUGAUCGACUAUGACUAUACUGUGCCAAAUGUAAUCCUUAACAGAGGAUUCCAAGCCUGAAAUCUGAUCCGU